CGCGGCCUAUCAGCUUGUUGGCGAGGUAACGGCUCACCAAGGCAACGACGGGUAGCUGGUCUGAGAGGAUGGCCAGCCACAUUGGGACUGAGAUACGGCCCAGACUCCUACGGGAGGCAGCAGUGGGGAAUCUUGCGCAAUGGCCUAACGGCUGACGCAGCGACGCCGCGUGUGGGAUGAAGCUCUUCGGAGUGUAAACCACUGUUGCCCGGGACGAACAGCUCGAUUAAUCGAGCCUGACGGUACCGGGUGAGGAAGCACCGGCUAACUCCGUGCCAGCAGCCGCGGUAAUACGGGGGGUGCGAGCGUUGUCCGGAAUCACUGGGCGUAAAGGGCGCGUAGGUGGUUUGAUAAGGGUGUGGUGAAAGUCCGGGGCUCAACCCCGGAUCUGCCGUGCCGACUGUCAAACUCGAGGACUGUAGAGGCAGACGGAAUUCCGGGUGUAGCGGUGGAAUGCGUAGAGAUCCGGAGGAAGACCGGUGGCGAAGGCGGUCUGCUGGGCAGUUUCUGACACUGAGGCGCGACAGCGUGGGGAGCAAACAGGAUUAGAUACCCUGGUAGUCCACGCCGUAAACGAUGGGUACUAGGUGCCUGGGGGAGCGACCCUCUGGGUGCCGGCGCUAACGCAGGAAGUACCCCGCCUGGGGAGUACGG
rnacentral:rRNA from 1 species